CACUCUAAAAACGGCUGGGUUAUUUUUUAACCCAAAAUGCUGGGUUGAGUCUGUUGGGUCAUUUUGUUGGGUUAUUUUAUUUCUUUUUAAACACUUUUGGGUAGUUUCAAUUUACCAGGUGUUGGGUUAACCCUGCUGGGUUGCGUCGCUGGGUUGUUUCAGGCCAGCGCUGGGUUAUUUAACGCGCCUUGAAGAUGUUUAAAUCGCUCCCCAACUGUGAUUUUGGAAGAACAACGGGGCAAAGCCACGGCUUUCAACUGUUUUAAGAAAAGCACAUGGAUACAUUUGUGAGAGAAAAACUCGUCGAGUGCAGUCUUAUUGAGGCGUCUAACGGUUGGAACAAACAUGGAAUUCCUUAACUGAGCAGAGUCCACAAAACCCCAUCCCAUUGUCGUGGUGAUUUAAAAAUGCCAGCAGAUCUCUCAGGCAUUGAUCAUAAUCAAUGGACAGGUAAGGAUAUUCUGGACUAUUUUCAAAAGGAAUUGCAAAUCUUAUAUAUUUAACUGUAUUUUUCCACAUGUGGAUACAUACAUUGUGAAAUAGUCCAAACUCAAUUGAAAAGCAUUUGUAUUUCAGAUGCCUUACACAAAAAGCUGUCAAUUUGUAUCAAGGGUGGAACUAUACUAUGGGGCGUGUUUGUAUUGGGAGAUAUUUUGUAGUUUUUACCCCAAAUCUCUCACUGUAUGCACUCUGAUGCACGUCAGCAAAACAACAUUGCAGUUCUACUCUUAUUUAUCUAUUUGCAUCUUACCCUAUAUUUUAUUCCUCAUGUGAAAAGCAUUUGGUUAAUGGUGAAUAUUGACCAAUAGUACCAUGUGACUCUAACUGUUAGCAGGGGA